rnacentral:rRNA from 1 species
CAGUAGCCACGGGAACACGGAAGGUCCGGGCGUUAUCCGGAUUUAUUGGGCGUAAAGGGAGCGCAGGCGGUUUAGUAAGUCUGAAGUUAAAGGCAUUGGCUCAACCAAUGUAUGCUUUGGAAACUGUUAGACUUGAGUGCAGAAGGGGAGAGUGGAAUUCCAUGUGUAGCGGUGAAAUGCGUAGAUAUAUGGAGGAGCACCGGUGGCGAAAGCGGCUCUCUGGUCUGUCACUGACGCUGAGGCUCGAAAGCGUGGGUAGCGAACAGGAUUAGAUACCCGCGUAGUCCCUGUCUCUUAUACA